GUUUCAUAUAAAAGACAUCCUCUUUUUCCCCUAAAACCAGUUCCCUCAAUCUUCCCUAAAACCCUCCAGCAGAACCCACUUCCCUCCAGAGAAAUCAAGUUUUUUCCGGCGAUUUUGGGCAAGAAACCACCGUCGUGACCGGCCGCUGGUAAGUUCCAUCCUCUUUAUCUUCUUUUUUGUUCAUUUAGGGUUUAAUUUUAUCUUUAUUUACAUGUUUCCGGCGAUUACCGGUGGUUUUCGAUCAUCUGGAGUGUUCAGUUCGAAGGUUCAUUGUUUCACUUCUUCAAGCUGAUUUCAGGUUUGCUCUGUUUCUCCAAUUUAAUCUUUUCUUCAUUUACACCAUGCUUGGAUUUGAUUGUAAAGUAGACACGAAGCUUCCUUCUAGAUGUAUAUGUGAUUUAUAGUCCUUGUUUGUUUAUUAGUAGAAUUUUAGAUAGGGUUUUUUCAUCUAUGCCCUAGGUGAGUUUUUGGGGUCAUUGUGUGAUGAACACUAUCAAUCAGAUAUUGUAGGCGAUUGACUAAUGAAUAGACCUGGAAAACGGGUCGGGUCGGGUCAUGGGUCAAACGGGUCCAGCGGGUUUAGCCUUGAGUAAACCCAUAAAUAAAUUUGAAGUGAACAUAUGUAACAUUGUAAGUCCGUGUUCCAUCGGGUUUAGCCGUUGAGUUUAGUAUUAGAAUUAUAAGAUCGUGAGUUCAAGUCUGGUUCAUGUCUUUUUUUUUGUUAAUAGUUCAACUCCAUUGUGAUUUAUGAAUAAAAGUGUUCUAACAUUAAAUUUUGAUUUGGGAAUAAAAGUGUUUGUUAAAUAAACCCAGUUUCAGUGCAUUAGGAACAAGAGUCCAACUAUUGAAUUGGAUUAUUAAUAUAUCAAAACUACUUAAUGAAAAUUAGUUUCACAAGAUUUAAUGUUGAUGUCAAGUUUGGAAUGUCAUUUAACUUCAUUUUGAGAAACUGAGGUUAAUAGACCUCUAAUUAGGCAGCUUGUGUUCUUGGUUUAAAAAAGUGCGCCUUAAGCGCGCUUAAAAGCAAAGCGACUCUAGGCCCAAAGAGUUGCGCCUUGUGUGACAUAAAGCGAGCUAUGUACAAAAAGCGCACAAAAAGCGAGCUUUUUUGGAAAAAAAAAAUCCCACUGAGGCGCGCGCUUUUUGUACAAAAGGUGUUUUUGUGAUUUAAAGUGUUAUACAUGCAGCUAAAAUGGUUGUACAUUAUAUGAUUUAGACAUUAAAUCAUAUGUAAACCUUAUUUGUCACUAUAUUUUGGGCAAGGGAUGCUAAAAGACUAUAGGAUAUAUAUAAAAAAUAUAUAAGCACCUUGUGCCUCACGUACGAAAAGCUGACCGCUUUUGCGAUUUACGCUUCACGCUUUAAUUUUAGAACUUGUCGCUUUUGUGCGCUUCACGCUUUUUUAAACCAAGCUUGUGUUGUAGUUGAGGUCCUUGCAAAUCAUGACUAAAAAUCUAUUAAUGUGGUAUACAGACAAUUAUUACCAAGUCGUUAGUCCAAAAUGAUUUAAGUUGGCUAGAACCUAUUUCAAGUUUAUAAAAGUGUUUUAGUUUGAACAUUGAAGGCACUUGUUACUAGGAUUUUGGUGCCAGAUCCAAACCAUUCACUUCCACUAGCUAAAUAGGUCAAGUGGUCAACAUGAUUUACAUAAUCCAAAACGAUUAUAACCUUUAAACCACAUAGCUUUGUCCCCCAACAAAAUUUGCCCAUGUUUAACACUUUGAACAUGAACGAUUUUCUCCUUUAAAAUGUCAUUAAGAAGUUUCUGUUGUAAUAUGCGUAAAUUAGUGAGUUCGCUAUGAUGGUACAAGUUUUUAUGGCCGCUUAAUCGCUUAAUCGACUUAUAAACACAUUAAACUGCAAGACUGAUUAGUGAGUUCGCUAUGAUGGCACGAGUUUUUAUGGCCGCUAUGACUUUUAUGGCCGCUUAAUCGUUUGCCGGCUGCAAAUAUGCUGCAGACCGGCUGCGAACAUGCUGCAGUCUGGCUGCAAAUACUCUGCAGACCCAUAAAAAGGUACUGCUAGUAAUCUUU
rnacentral:lncRNA from 1 species